ensembl:snRNA Gm23099 predicted gene, 23099
ACACUUACUUGGCAGGGGAGUUAGAGUGAUCAAAAAGGUGGAUUUCUCAGGGCCAGGGUUCUCUGGAUUGUUGAGCCCUCAGUUUCCCCACUGUGGAAGUGACUGCAUAAUCUGUGGUAGAGGAGUCUGUGUUCUCCAG